CCGCCGCCGCCUCCAUCGCCGCCGCCGCCGAGCGGGGGGGGAGGCAGAGGAGGAGCCACGAGGAGGAGGGGAGGAAGCCGUUGCCGGGGCAGCGCGCGGCUGGGGCGGGCGUUGUGCGGGUGGCGGUAGGCAGCCCGUUAGAACGCGUGCCGUUGCUAGCGGCUUGCUUGCCGUGACGCCGCUCAGCAGCCGGCGUGCCGCACCCGGAGCCGACCCGACGCCGCGCUGCCAGAUAUGAGAAAGUGGAACAGACAGAGCUUGUGAAACAAGAGAUCUUGCAGACAAAGCACAAGGACAGGCAGGAGCAGAGUCUAGGAUAGCGGUACAUGGCCCUCAGCCAGCAGAUGGGCAUGAAGAUGCUAGCAGAGCCAGAGCCAAAGAGCAUCAAGACCACCUCAGCGACGGAGCAGACAGAGCAGAUGAAAAAGCAACAAGCACCAGGUACCACAGACACCCACUCAGGGCAGAGACCCCUUCACUAGGGGCUCGUGCUCCACGCACGGGGUCCCCUCCUCAGGCGGAGGGCACCCCAGCAGCGCCCACACGCAAGGGGAACCCUCGAAAACUCGAGGGCUAAGCCCCAUCUCACUGCCACGCACGGGGUCCCCUCCUCAGGCGGAGGGCACCCCAGCUCCACCCGCACGCAAGGGGAUCCCUCGAAAACUCGA